UACCACUGUAUUAGGAAGCAACAGAUAAUUAAAGAUGUGUGAAAUUCAAAUACGUUAGAUAUGCGUACUAGAGAGUAAAUUGAUGUAUAAAUUUCACUUGCCUGAAUAUGCAAGGGUUAAAAGUCGGUAGAGUGGUGGAGCCAUGCACACAAGCCCCACCCCAGUGUCCCCUUCACACACUGGCUCCUCUCAUAAUUUCAUGUGUUGAGUGUGAAGGUGCUUAGAAGCCACUGUGCUGUCAUGAAUCGUGUUGAAGCAGGUUUCCCUAUCCCUUGAGGGCUCUGAAACACAUUCAGCCAAACAAACAUCGAAGCCUCCUGCAGACCUCCACUCCCAGUGUGCAAAAAUCUGAAAGAAAGUCCACUCUUUGAGAAUGUUAGCAUGUGUUCAAUAUGUUGCUACCUUUCUGUAAAGUGUGUCUGUGCUAACCGUUAAUUUUUUAUGUUUAUACCUUUUCAGAAGCAUUUUCAUAUUGUGUUGGUACUUUUCAGCCAAAGCAUUUGUAUUUUUGACUUACCUUGAAGGAUGAGCGUGGAUAUGAGCUAUGUUGUGGCAUUAAGGAUGGGCAAACCUAGCAAGGAGAGACUUGGGGCGCUGGCCUCUUUUGGACCAUCCUUCAGCCACCAAUAUUUGGGUUAUCAUUUCAACCAGCCUUCCAUCCUGUCUAGUGUUAUCGCUGCCAGAUACCAAACAAGCUCAUCAUAAAAUCACAUCUGUAAUUUGAUGCUGAACACCUUACUAUACCUUUCACCUUCAUCUGGCUCUUGUCAUAUUUGUUUACCCUCCAGUUCUCCAUCUCCAGUGAUAAGUGUUGUGCUAUGGCUCUAUGGCUGUUGGAGAAAUGGGAGAUUUGCAGAGGAUUGAUAUUUAAGAAGGGAAUUCUCAUGGGAUGACACGAUUAGAACUCCUUAUUCCUGAUGAUUUCUCACAGUUGCUUCAAUCUCACUUGUCGCAUACUUCAAAUCUAAGGUAGGCAGAGUGAGUGGUGGAAUCCUUUACCUGCAGAGCUUCCCUGGGAGUUCUUCAUGAUGGAGAAGUGGAAGGGGCUAAUGUAAGUAGAGGACAAAACUAGAAGGUGUCUGUGAUGAAUCAGCUCAGUGGUGCAAUUUUGAGAAAGGAGAAAUCUUCGAUAAUAAAUACGUUGUGGGCAAUGACUGAGAAGGGGAAACAGCAUAGGACAUUUCUCUGUCUGGAUCAGAAAAGGGGAAGUUUUAUACUGCUUUCACUUUUUAUAUAUUUAUGAGUUGUUAUAAAACUCAUAACAUUGAAAAAAUAACAACUCCAAAGCAGUGCACAAGAAUUU